rnacentral:rRNA from 1 species
ACGUAGGACCCAAGCGUUAUCCGGAGUGACUGGGCGUAAAGAGUUGCGUAGGCGGUUCGUAGAGCGAAUAGUGAAAUCUGAUGGCUCAACCAUCAUCACAUUAUUCGAACUCACGAACUCGAGAAUGGUAGAGGUAGCUGGAAUUUCCUGUGUAGGAGUGAAAUCCGUAGAUAUAGGAAGGAACACCAAUGGCGUAGGCAGGCUACUGGACCAUUUCUGACGCUGAGGCACGAAAGCGUGGGGAGCGAACCGGA